AACCAGCGACCUUUGGAUCACAGCGUUUCAGGAACUUCUUACAGUCCUCUGCUCUACCAACUGAGCUAUGAAGGUGCUCAUAUAUACAAACGCAGAAAACAUAGUGGCUUCGGCGACACACUUUGCCAACAAUAAAAUUGGACCCACAUGGUCAAUGAAAAAGGUUGAAGAGUGCAUACAGCAAUGAAAUCUGUUGUUUGGAGCUGGAGUUGAACCGGGCACCUUUGGAACACAGCGUUUCAGGAGCUUCUUAUAGUCCUCUGCUCUACCAAGAGAGCUAUGAAGGUGCUUAUAGACACAAACGCAGAAAACAUAGUGGCUUCGGCGACACACUUUGCCAACAAUACAAUUGGACCCACAUGGUCAAUGAAAAAGGUUGAAGAGUGCAUACAGCAAUGAAAUGUGGUGUUUGGAGCUGGAGUUGAACCAGCCACCUUUGGAGAACAGCGUUUCAGGAACUUCUUUUCUUACAGUCCUCUGCUCUACCAACUGAGCUAUGAAGGAGCUUAUAUAUACAAACGCAGAAAACAUAGUGGCUUCGGCGACACACUUUGCCAACAAUACAAUUGGACCCACAUGGUAAAUGAAAAACGUUGAAGAGUGUAUACAGCAAUGAAAUGUGGUGUUUGGAGCUGGAGUUGAACCAGCCACCUUUGGAGAACAGCGUUUCAGGAACUUCUUACAGUCCUCUGCUCUACCAACUGAGCCAUGAAGGUGGUUAUAUAUACAAACGCAGAAAACAUAGUGGCUUCGGCGAGACACUUUGCCAACAAUACAAUUGGACCCACAUGGUCAAUGAAAAAGGUUGAAGAGUGCAUACAGCAAUGAAAUCUGUUGUUUGGAGCUGGAGUUGAACCGGCCACCUUUGGACCACAGCGUUUCAGGAGCUUCUUACAGUCCUCUGCUCUACCAAGUGAGCUAUGAAGGUGCUUAUAGACACAAACGCAGAAAACAUAGUGGCUUCGGCGACACACUUUGCCAACAAUACAAUUGGACCCACAUGGUCAAUGAAAAAGGUUGAAGAGUGCAUACAGCAAUGAAAUGUGGUGUUUGGAGCUGGAGUUGAACCAGCCACCUUUGGAGAACAGCGUUUCAGGAACUUCUUACAGUCCUCUGCUCUACCAACUGAGCUAUGAAGGUGCUUAUAUAUACAAACGCAGAAAACAUAGUGGCUUCGGCGAGACACUUUGCCAACAAUACAAUUGGACCCACAUGGUCAAUGAAAAAGGUUGAAGAGUGCAUACAGCAAUGAAAUGUGGUGUUUGGAGCUGGAGUUGAACCAGCCACCUUUGGACCACAGCGUUUCAGGAACUUCUUACAGUCCUCUGCUCUACCAACUGAGCUAUGAAGGUGCUUAUAUAUACAAAAGCAGAAAACAUAGUGGCUUCGGUGACACACUUUGCCAACAAUACAAUUGGAACCACAUGGUCAAUGAAAAAGGUUGAAGAGUGCAUAAAGCAACGAAAUCUGUUGUUUGGAGCUGGAGUUGAACCGGCCACCUUUGGACCACAGCGUUUCAGGAACUUCUUACAGUCCUCUGCUCUACCAAGUGAGCUAUGAAGGUGCUUAUAGACACAAACGCAGAAAACAUAGUGGCUUCGGCGACACACUUUGCCAACAAUACAAUUGGAACCACAUGGUCAAUGAAAAAGGUUGAAGAGUGCAUAAAGCAACGAAAUCUGUUGUUUGGAGCUGGAGUUGAACCGGCCACCUUUGGACCACAGCGUUUCAGGAACUUCUUACAGUCCUCUGCUCUACCAAGUGAGCUAUGAAGGUGCUUAUAGACACAAACGCAGAAAACAUAGUGGCUUCGGCGACACACUUUGCCAACAAUACAAUUGGACCCACAUGGUCAAUGAAAAAGGUUGAAGAGUGCAUACAGCAAUGAAAUGUGGUGUUUGGAGCUGGAGUUGAACCAGCCACCUUUGGAGAACAGCGUUUCAGGAACUUCUUACAGUGCUCUGCUCUACCAACUGAGCUAUGAAGGUGCUUAUAUAUACAAAAGCAGAAAACAUAGUGGCUUCGGCGACACACUUUGCCAACAAUACAAUUGGAACCACAUGGUCAAUGAAAAAGGUUGAAGAGUGCAUAAAGCAAGGAAAUCUGGUAUUUGGAGUUGGAGUUGAACCAGCAACCUUUGGACCACAGCGUUUCAGGAGCUUCUUAUAGUCCCCUGCUCUACCAACUGAGCUAUGAAGGUGCUUAUAUAUACAAAAGCAGAAAACAUAGUGGCUUCGGCGACACACUUUGCCAACAAUACAAUUGGACCCACAUGGUCAAUGAAAAAGGUUGAAGAGUGCAUACAGCAAUGAAAUGUGGUGUUUGGAGUUGGAGUUGAACCAGCCACCUUUGGACCACAGCGUUUCAGGAACUUCUUACAGUCCUCUGCUCUACCAACUGAGCUAUGAAGGUGCUUAUAUAUACAAAAGCAGAAAACAUAGUGGCUUCGGCGACACACUUUGCCAACAAUACAAUUGGAACCACAUGGUCAAUGAAAAAGAUUGAAGAGUGCAUAAAGCAAGGAAAUCUGGUGUUUGGAGUUGGAGUUGAACCAGCGACCUUUUGACAACAGCGUUUCAGGAACUUCUUUUCUUACAGUCCUCUGCUCUACCAACUGAGCUAUGAAGGAGCUUAUAUAUACAAAGCAGAAAACAUAGUGGCUACGGCGACACACUUUGCCAACAAUACAAUUGGACCCACAUGGUCAAUGAAAAAGGUUGAAGAGUGCAUACAGCAAUGAAAUCUGUUGUUUGGAGCUGGAGUUGAACCGGCCACCUUUGGACCACAGCGUUUCAGGAGCUUCUUACAGUCCUCUGCUCUACCAACUGAGCUAUGAAGGUGCUUAUAGACACAAACGCAGAAAACAUAGUGGCUUCGGCGACACACUUUGCCAACAAUACAAUUGGACCCACAUGGUCAAUGAAAAAGGUUGAAGAGUGCAUACAGCAAUGAAAUGUGGUGUUUGGAGCUGGAGUUGAACCAGCCACCUUUGGAGAAUAGCGUUUCAGGAACUACUUACAGUCCUCUGCUCUACCAACUGAGCUAUGAAGGUGCUUAUAUAUACAAACGCAGAAAACAUAGUGGCUUCGGCGAGACACUUUGCCAACAAUACAAUUGGACCCACAUGGUCAAUGAAAAAGGUUGAAGAGUGCAUACAGCAAUGAAAUGUGGUGUUUGGAGCUGGAGUUGAACCAGCCACCUUCUGACAGUCCUCUGCUCUACCAACUGAGCUAUGAAGGUGCUUAUAUAUACAAACGCAGAAAACAUAGUGGCUUCGGCGAGACACUUUGCCAACAAUACAAUUGGACCCACAUGGUCAAUGAAAAAGGUUGAAGAGUGCAUAAAGCAAGGUAAUCUGGUGCUUGGAGUUGGAGUUGAACCGGGCACCUUUGGACCACAGCGUUUCAGGAACUUCUUACAGUCCUCUGCUCUACCAACUGAGCUAUGAAGGUGCUUAUAUAUACAAAAGAAGAAAACAUAGUGGCUUCGGCGACACACUUUGCCAACAAUACAAUUGGACCCACAUGGUCAAUGAAAAAGGUUGAAGAGUGCAUACAGCAAUGAAAUGUGGUGUUUGGAGAUGGAGUUGAAUCAGCGACCUUUGGACCACAGCGUUUCAGGAACUUCUUACAGUCCUCUGCUCUACCAACUGAGCUAUGAAGGUGCUUAUAUAAACGCAGAAAACAUAGUGGCUUCGGCGACACACUUUGCCAACAAUACAAUUGGACCCACAUGGUCAAUGAAAAAGGUUGAAGAGUGCAUACAGCAAUGAAAUCUGUUGUUUGGAGCUGGAGUUGAACCGGCCACCUUUGGACAACAGCGUUUCAGGAGCUUCUUACAGUCCUCUACUCUACCAAGUGAGCUAUGAAGGUGCUUAUAGACACAAACGCAGAAAACAUAGUGGCUUCGGCGACACACUUUGCCAACAAUACAAUUGGACCCACAUGGUCAAUGAAAAAGGUUGAAGAGUGCAUACAGCAAUGAAAUGUGGUGUUUGGAGCUGGAGUUGAACCAGCCACCUUUGGAGAACAGCGUUUCAGGAACUUCUUACAGUCCUCUGCUCUACCAACUGAGCUAUGAAGGUGCUUAUAUAUACAAACGCAGAAAACAUAGUGGCUUCGGCGAGACACUUUGCCAACAAUACAAUUGGACCCACAUGGUCAAUGAAAAAGGUUGAAGAGUGCAUACAGCAAUGAAAUGUGGUGUUUGGAGCUGGAGUUGAACCAGCCACCUUUGGAGAACAGCGUUUCAGGAACUUCUUACAGUCCUCUGCUCUACCAACUGAGCUAUGAAGGUGCUUAUAUAUACAAACGCAGAAAACAUAGUGGCUUCGGCGAGACACUUUGCCAACAAUACAAUUGGACCCACAUGGUCAAUGAAAAAGGUUGAAGAGUGCAUACAGCAAUGAAAUGUGGUGUUUGGAGCUGGAGUUGAACCAGCCACCUUCUUACAGUCCUCUGCUCUACCAACUGAGCUAUGAAGGUGCUUAUAUAUACAAACGCAGAAAACAUAGUGGCUUCGGCGAGACACUUUGCCAACAAUACAAUUGGACCCACAUGGUCAAUGAAAAAGGUUGAACAGUGCAUAAAGCAAUGAAAUGUGGUGUUUAGAGCUGGAGUUGAACCAGCGACCUUUGGACCACAGCGUUUCAGGAACUUCUUACAGUCCUCUGCUCUACCAACUGAGCUAUGAAGGUGCUUAUAUAAACGCAGAAAACAUAGUGGCUUCGGCGAGACACUUUGCCAACAAUACAAUUGGACCCACAUGGUCAAUGAAAAAGGUUGAAGAGUGCAUACAGCAAUGAAAUGUGGUGUUUGGAGUUGGAGUUGAACCAGCCACCUUUGGACCACAGCGUUUCAGGAACUUCUUACAGUCCUCUGCUCUACCAACUGAGCUAUGAAGGUGCUUAUAUAUACAAAAGCAGAAAACAUAGUGGCUUCGGCGACACACUUUGCCAACAAUACAAUUGGAACCACAUGGUCAAUGAAAAAGAUUGAAGAGUGCAUAAAGCAAGGAAAUCUGGUGUUUGGAGUUGGAGUUGAACCAGCGACCUUUUGACAACAGCGUUUCAGGAACUUCUUUUCUUACAGUCCUCUGCUCUACCAACUGAGCUAUGAAGGAGCUUAUAUAUACAAAGCAGAAAACAUAGUGGCUACGGCGACACACUUUGCCAACAAUACAAUUGGACGCACAUGGUCAAUAAAAAAGGUUGAAGAGUGCAUACAGCAAUGAAAUGUGGUGUUUGGAGCUGGAGUUGAACCAGCGACCUUUUGACCACAGCGUUUCAGGAGCUUCUUACAGUCCUCUGCUCUACCAAGUGAGCUAUGAAGGUGCUUAUAUAUACAAACGCAGAAAACAUAGUGGCUUCGGCGACACACUUUGCCAACAAUACAAUUGGACCCACAUGGUCAAUGAAAAAGGUUGAAGAGUGCAUACAGCAAUGAAAUCUGUUGUUUGGAGCUGGAGUUGAACCGGCCACCUUUGGACCACAGCGUUUCAGGAGCUUCUUACAGUCCUCUGCUCUACCAACUGAGCUAUGAAGGUGCUUAUAGACACAAACGCAGAAAACAUAGUGGCUUCGGCGACACACUUUGCCAACAAUACAAUUGGACCCACAUGGUCAAUGAAAAAGGUUGAAGAGUGCAUACAGCAAUGAAAUGUGGUGUUUGGAGCUGGAGUUGAACCAGCCACCUUUGGAGAAUAGCGUUUCAGGAACUACUUACAGUCCUCUGCUCUACCAACUGAGCUAUGAAGGUGCUUAUAUAUACAAACGCAGAAAACAUAGUGGCUUCGGCGAGACACUUUGCCAACAAUACAAUUGGACCCACAUGGUCAAUGAAAAAGGUUGAAGAGUGCAUACAGCAAUGAAAUGUGGUGUUUGGAGCUGGAGUUGAACCAGCCACCUUCUGACAGUCCUCUGCUCUACCAACUGAGCUAUGAAGGUGCUUAUAUAUACAAACGCAGAAAACAUAGUGGCUUCGGCGACACACUUUGCCAACAAUACAAUUGGACCCACAUGGUCAAUGAAAAAGGUUGAAGAGUGCAUAAAGCAAGGUAAUCUGGUGCUUGGAGUUGGAGUUGAACCGGGCACCUUUGGACCACAGCGUUUCAGGAACUUCUUACAGUCCUCUGCUCUACCAACUGAGCUAUGAAGGUGCUUAUAUAUACAAAAGAAGAAAACAUAGUGGCUUCGGCGACACACUUUGCCAACAAUACAAUUGGACCCACAUGGUCAAUGAAAAAGGUUGAAGAGUGCAUACAGCAAUGAAAUGUGGUGUUUGGAGAUGGAGUUGAAUCAGCGACCUUUUGACCACAGCGUUUCAGGAACUUCUUACAGUCCUCUGCUCUACCAACUGAGCUAUGAAGGUGCUUAUAUAAACGCAGAAAACAUAGUGGCUUCGGCGACACACUUUGCCAACAAUACAAUUGGACCCACAUGGUCAAUGAAAAAGGUUGAAGAGUGCAUACAGCAAUGAAAUCUGUUGUUUGGAGCUGGAGUUGAACCGGCCACCUUUGGACAACAGCGUUUCAGGAGCUUCUUACAGUCCUCUACUCUACCAAGUGAGCUAUGAAGGUGCUUAUAGACACAAACGCAGAAAACAUAGUGGCUUCGGCGACACACUUUGCCAACAAUACAAUUGGACCCACAUGGUCAAUGAAAAAGGUUGAAGAGUGCAUACAGCAAUGAAAUGUGGUGUUUGGAGCUGGAGUUGAACCAGCCACCUUUGGAGAACAGCGUUUCAGGAACUUCUUACAGUCCUCUGCUCUACCAACUGAGCUAUGAAGGUGCUUAUAUAUACAAACGCAGAAAACAUAGUGGCUUCGGCGAGACACUUUGCCAACAAUACAAUUGGACCCACAUGGUCAAUGAAAAAGGUUGAAGAGUGCAUACAGCAAUGAAAUGUGGUGUUUGGAGCUGGAGUUGAACCAGCCACCUUUGGAGAACAGCGUUUCAGGAACUUCUUACAGUCCUCUGCUCUACCAACUGAGCUAUGAAGGUGCUUAUAUAUACAAACGCAGAAAACAUAGUGGCUUCGGCGAGACACUUUGCCAACAAUACAAUUGGACCCACAUGGUCAAUGAAAAAGGUUGAAGAGUGCAUACAGCAAUGAAAUGUGGUGUUUGGAGCUGGAGUAGAACCAGCCACCUUCUUACAGUCCUCUGCUCUACCAACUGAGCUAUGAAGGUGCUUAUAUAUACAAACGCAGAAAACAUAGUGGCUUCGGCGAGACACUUUGCCAACAAUACAAUUGGACCCACAUGGUCAAUGAAAAAGGUUGAACAGUGCAUAAAGCAAUGAAAUGUGGUGUUUAGAGCUGGAGUUGAACCAGCGACCUUUGGACCACAGCGUUUCAGGAACUUCUUACAGUCCUCUGCUCUACCAACUGAGCUAUGAAGGUGCUUAUAUAAACGCAGAAAACAUAGUGGCUUCGGCGAGACACUUUGCCAACAAUACAAUUGGACCCACAUGGUCAAUGAAAAAGGUUGAAGAGUGCAUACAGCAAUGAAAUGUGGUGUUUGGAGCUGGAGUUGAACCAGCCACCUUUGGAGAACAGCGUUUCAGGAACUUCUUACAGUCCUCUGCUCUACCAACUGAGCUAUGAAGGUGCUUAUAUAUACAAACGCAGAAAACAUAGUGGCUUCGGCGACACACUUUGCCAACAAUACAAUUGGACCCACAUGGUCAAUGAAAAAGGUCUAAGAGUGCAUAAAGCAGCGAAAUCUGGUGUUUGGAGUUGGAGUUGAACCAGCGACCUUUGGAACACAGCGUUUCAGGAACUUAUUACAGUCCUCUGCUCUACCAACUGAGCUAUGAAGGUGCUUAUAUAAACAAAAGCAGAAAACAUAGUGGCUUCGGCGACACACUUUGCCAACAAUACAAUUGGAACCACAUGGUCAAUGAAAAAAGGUUGAAGAGUGCAUAAAAUGAAAUUGGUGUUUGGAGUGGAGUUGAACAACCUUUGGACAAGCGUUUCAGGAACUUCUUACAGUCCUCUGCUCUACCAACUGAGCUAUGAAGGUGCUAUAACAAACGCAGAAAACAUAGUGGCUUCGGCGACACUUUGCCAACAAUACAAUUGGACCCACAUGGUCAAUGAAAAAGGUUGAAGAGUGCAUACAGCAAUGAAAUUGGUGUUUGGAGCUGGAGUUGAACCAGCCCUUUGGAACAGCGUUUCAGGACUUCUACAGUCCUCUGCUCUACCAACUGAGCUAUGAAGGUGCUUAUAGAGAAAACAUAGUGGCUUCGGCGACACACUUUGCCAACAAUACAAUUGGACCCACAUGGUCAAUGAAAAAGGUUGAAGAGUGCAUACAGCAAUGAAAUGUGGUGUUUGGAGCUGGAGUUGAACCAGCCACCUUUGGAGAACAGCGUUUCAGGAACUUCUUUUCUUACAGUCCUCUGCUCUACCAACUGAGCUAUGAAGGAGCUUAUAUAUACAAACGCAGAAAACAUAGUGGCUUCGGCGACACACUUUGCCAACAAUACAAUUGGACCCACAUGGUCAAUGAAAAAGGUUGAAGAGUGCAUACAGCAAUGAAAUGUGGUGUUUGGAGCUGGAGUUGAACCAGCCACCUGUGGAGAACAGCGUUUCAGGAACUUCUUACAGUCCUCUGCUCUACCAACUGAGCUAUGAAGGUGCUUAUAUAUACAAACGCAGAAAACAUAGUGGCUUCGGCGAGACACUUUGCCAACAAUACAAUUGGACCCACAUGGUCAAUGAAAAAGGUUGAAGAGUGCAUACAGCAAUGAAAUCUGUUGUUUGGAGCUGGAGUUGAACCGGCCACCUUUGGACCACAGCGUUUCAGGAACUUCUUACAGUCCUCUGCUCUACCAACUGAGCUAUGAAGGUGCUUAUAGACACAAACGCAGAAAACAUAGUGGCUUCAGCGACACACUUUGCCAACAAUACAAUUGGACCCACAUGGUCAAUGAAAAAGGUUGAAGAGUGCAUACAGCAAUGAAAUGUGGUGUUUGGAGCUGGAGUUGAACCAGCCACCUUUGGAGAACAGCGUUUCAGGAACUUCUUACAGUCCUCUGCUCUACCAACUGAGCUAUGAAGGUGCUUAUAUAUACAAACAAAGAAAACAUAGUGGCUUCGGCGAGACACUUUGCCAACAAUACAAUUGGACCCACAUGGUCAAUGAAAAAGGUUGAAGAGUGCAUACAGCAAUGAAAUGUGGUGUUUGGAGCUGGAGUUGAACCAGCCACCUUUGGAGAACAGCGUUUCAGGAACUUCUUACAGUCCUCUGCUCUACCAACUGAGCUAUGAAGGUGCUUAUAUAUACAAAAGCAGAAAACAUAGUGGCUUCGGUGACACACUUUGCCAACAAUACAAUUGGUACCACAUGGUCAAUGAAAAAGGUUGAAGAGUGCAUAAAGCAACGAAAUCUGGUGUUUGGAGUUGGAGUUGAACCGGCACCUUUGGACCACAGCGUUUCAGGAACUUCUUACAGUCCUCUGCUCUACCAACUGAGCUAUGAAGGUGCUUAUAUAUACAAAAGCAGAAAACAUAGUGGCUUCGGCGACACACUUUGCCAACAAUACAAUUGGAACCACAUGGUCAAUGAAAAAGGUUGAAGAGUGCAUAAAGCAACGAAAUCUGUUGUUUGGAGCUGGAGUUGAACCGGCCACCUUUGGACCACAGCGUUUCAGGAACUUCUUACAGUCCUCUGCUCUACCAAGUGAGCUAUGAAGGUGCUUAUAGACACAAACGCAGAAAACAUAGUGGCUUCGGCGACACACUUUGCCAACAAUACAAUUGGACCCACAUGGUCAAUGAAAAAGGUUGAAGAGUGCAUACAGCAAUGAAAUGUGGUGUUUGGAGCUGGAGUUGAACCAGCCACCUUUGGAGAACAGCGUUUCAGGAACUUCUUACAGUGCUCUGCUCUACCAACUGAGCUAUGAAGGUGCUUAUAUAUACAAAAGCAGAAAACAUAGUGGCUUCGGCGACACACUUUGCCAACAAUACAAUUGGAACCACAUGGUCAAUGAAAAAGGUUGAAGAGUGCAUAAAGCAAGGAAAUCUGGUAUUUGGAGUUGGAGUUGAACCAGCAACCUUUGGACCACAGCGUUUCAGGAGCUUCUUAUAGUCCCCUGCUCUACCAACUGAGCUAUGAAGGUGCUUAUAUAUACAAAAGCAGAAAACAUAGUGGCUUCGGCGACACACUUUGCCAACAAUACAAUUGGACCCACAUGGUCAAUGAAAAAGGUUGAAGAGUGCAUACAGCAAUGAAAUGUGGUGUUUGGAGUUGGAGUUGAACCAGCCACCUUUGGACCACAGCGUUUCAGGAACUUCUUACAGUCCUCUGCUCUACCAACUGAGCUAUGAAGGUGCUUAUAUAUACAAAAGCAGAAAACAUAGUGGCUUCGGCGACACACUUUGCCAACAAUACAAUUGGAACCACAUGGUCAAUGAAAAAGAUUGAAGAGUGCAUAAAGCAAGGAAAUCUGGUGUUUGGAGUUGGAGUUGAACCAGCGACCUUUUGACAACAGCGUUUCAGGAACUUCUUUUCUUACAGUCCUCUGCUCUACCAACUGAGCUAUGAAGGAGCUUAUAUAUACAAAGCAGAAAACAUAGUGGCUACGGCGACACACUUUGCCAACAAUACAAUUGGACCCACAUGGUCAAUGAAAAAGGUUGAAGAGUGCAUACAGCAAUGAAAUCUGUUGUUUGGAGCUGGAGUUGAACCGGCCACCUUUGGACCACAGCGUUUCAGGAGCUUCUUACAGUCCUCUGCUCUACCAACUGAGCUAUGAAGGUGCUUAUAGACACAAACGCAGAAAACAUAGUGGCUUCGGCGACACACUUUGCCAACAAUACAAUUGGACCCACAUGGUCAAUGAAAAAGGUUGAAGAGUGCAUACAGCAAUGAAAUGUGGUGUUUGGAGCUGGAGUUGAACCAGCCACCUUUGGAGAAUAGCGUUUCAGGAACUACUUACAGUCCUCUGCUCUACCAACUGAGCUAUGAAGGUGCUUAUAUAUACAAACGCAGAAAACAUAGUGGCUUCGGCGAGACACUUUGCCAACAAUACAAUUGGACCCACAUGGUCAAUGAAAAAGGUUGAAGAGUGCAUACAGCAAUGAAAUGUGGUGUUUGGAGCUGGAGUUGAACCAGCCACCUUCUGACAGUCCUCUGCUCUACCAACUGAGCUAUGAAGGUGCUUAUAUAUACAAACGCAGAAAACAUAGUGGCUUCGGCGAGACACUUUGCCAACAAUACAAUUGGACCCACAUGGUCAAUGAAAAAGGUUGAAGAGUGCAUAAAGCAAGGUAAUCUGGUGCUUGGAGUUGGAGUUGAACCGGGCACCUUUGGACCACAGCGUUUCAGGAACUUCUUACAGUCCUCUGCUCUACCAACUGAGCUAUGAAGGUGCUUAUAUAUACAAACGCAGAAAACAUAGUGGCUUCGGCGACACACUUUGCCAACAAUACAAUUGGACCCACAUGGUCAAUGAAAAAGGUUGAAGAGUGCAUACAGCAAUGAAAUCUGGUGUUUGGAGCUGGAGUUGAACCAGCGACCUUUGGACCACAGCGUUUCAGGAACUUCUUACAGUCCUCUGCUCUACCAACUGAGCUAUGAAGGUGCUUAUAUAUACAAACGCAGAAAACAUAGUGGCUUCGGCGACACACUUUGCCAACAAUACAAUUGGACCCACAUGGUCAAUGAAAAAGGUUGAAGAGUGCAUACAGCAAUGAAAUCUGUUGUUUGGAGCUGGAGUUGAACCGGCCACCUUUGGACCACAGCGUUUCAGGAACUUCUUACAGUCCUCUGCUCUACCAAGUGAGCUAUGAAGGUGCUUAUAGACACAAACGCAGAAAACAUAGUGGCUUCGGCGACACACUUUGCCAACAAUACAAUUGGACCCACAUGGUCAAUGAAAAAGGUUGAAGAGUGCAUACAGCAAUGAAAUGUGGUGUUUGGAGCUGGAGUUGAACCAGCCACCUUUGGACACAGCGUUUCAGGAACUUCUUACAGUCCUCUGCUCUACCAACUGAGCUAUGAAGGUGCUUAUAUAUACAAACGCAGAAAACAUAGUGGCUUCGGCGACACACUUUGCCAACAAUACAAUUGGACCCACAUGGUCAAUGAAAAAGGUUGAAGAGUGCAUACAGCAAUGAAAUGUGGUGUUUGGAGCUGGAGUUGAACCAGCCACCUUUGGACCACAGCGUUUCAGGAACUUCUUACAGUCCUCUGCUCUACCAACUGAGCUAUGAAGGUGCUUAUAUAUACAAACGCAGAAAACAUAGUGGCUUCGGCGACACACUUUGCCAACAAUACAAUUGGACCCACAUGGUCAAUGAAAAAGGUUGAAGAGUGCAUACAGCAAUGAAAUGUGGUGUUUGGAGCUGGAGUUGAACCAGCCACCUUCUUACAGUCCUCUGCUCUACCAACUGAGCUAUGAAGGUGCUUAUAUAUACAAACGCAGAAAACAUAGUGGCUUCGGCGAGACACUUUGCCAACAAUACAAUUGGACCCACAUGGUCAAUGAAAAAGGUUGAACAGUGCAUAAAGCAAUGAAAUGUGGUGUUUAGAGCUGGAGUUGAACCAGCGACCUUUGGACCACAGCGUUUCAGGAACUUCUUACAGUCCUCUGCUCUACCAACUGAGCUAUGAAGGUGCUUAUAUAAACGCAGAAAACAUAGUGGCUUCGGCGAGACACUUUGCCAACAAUACAAUUGGACCCACAUGGUCAAUGAAAAAGGUUGAAGAGUGCAUACAGCAAUGAAAUGUGGUGUUUGGAGUUGGAGUUGAACCAGCCACCUUUGGACCACAGCGUUUCAGGAACUUCUUACAGUCCUCUGCUCUACCAACUGAGCUAUGAAGGUGCUUAUAUAUACAAAAGCAGAAAACAUAGUGGCUUCGGCGACACACUUUGCCAACAAUACAAUUGGAACCACAUGGUCAAUGAAAAAGAUUGAAGAGUGCAUAAAGCAAGGAAAUCUGGUGUUUGGAGUUGGAGUUGAACCAGCGACCUUUUGACAACAGCGUUUCAGGAACUUCUUUUCUUACAGUCCUCUGCUCUACCAACUGAGCUAUGAAGGAGCUUAUAUAUACAAAGCAGAAAACAUAGUGGCUACGGCGACACACUUUGCCAACAAUACAAUUGGACGCACAUGGUCAAUAAAAAAGGUUGAAGAGUGCAUACAGCAAUGAAAUGUGGUGUUUGGAGCUGGAGUUGAACCAGCGACCUUUUGACCACAGCGUUUCAGGAGCUUCUUACAGUCCUCUGCUCUACCAAGUGAGCUAUGAAGGUGCUUAUAUAUACAAACGCAGAAAACAUAGUGGCUUCGGCGACACACUUUGCCAACAAUACAAUUGGACCCACAUGGUCAAUGAAAAAGGUUGAAGAGUGCAUACAGCAAUGAAAUGUGGUGUUUGGAGCUGGAGUUGAACCGGCCACCUUUGGACCACAGCGUUUCAGGAACUUCUUACAGUCCUCUGCUCUACCAACUGAGCUAUGAAGGUGCUUAUAUAUACAAACGCAGAAAACAUAGUGGCUUCGGCGACACACUUUGCCAACAAUACAAUUGGACCCACAUGGUCAAUGAAAAAGGUUGAAGAGUGCAUACAGCAAUGAAAUGUGGUGUUUGGAGCUGGAGUUGAACCAGCCACCUUUGGACAACAGCGUUUCAGGAACUUCUUACAGUCCUCUGCUCUACCAACUGAGCUAUGAAGGUGCUUAUAUAUACAAACGCAGAAAACAUAGUGGCUUCGGCGACACACUUUGCCAACAAUACAAUUGGACCCACAUGGUCAAUGAAAAAGGUUGAAGAGUGCAUACAGCAAUGAAAUGUGGUGUUUGGAGCUGGAGUUGAACCAGCCACCUUCUGACAGUCCUCUGCUCUACCAACUGAGCUAUGAAGGUGCUUAUAUAUACAAACGCAGAAAACAUAGUGGCUUCGGCGACACACUUUGCCAACAAUACAAUUGGACCCACAUGGUCAAUGAAAAAGGUUGAAGAGUGCAUAAAGCAAGGUAAUCUGGUGCUUGGAGUUGGAGUUGAACCAGCGACCUUUGGACCACAGCGUUUCAGGAACUUCUUACAGUCCUCUGCUCUACCAACUGAGCUAUGAAGGUGCUUAUAUAUACAAACGAAGAAAACAUAGUGGCUUCGGCGACACACUUUGCCAACAAUACAAUUGGACCCACAUGGUCAAUGAAAAAGGUUGAAGAGUGCAUACAGCAAUGAAAUGUGGUGUUUGGAGCUGGAGUUGAACCAGCGACCUUUUGACCACAGCGUUUCAGGAACUUCUUACAGUCCUCUGCUCUACCAACUGAGCUAUGAAGGUGCUUAUAUAUACAAACGCAGAAAACAUAGUGGCUUCGGCGACACACUUUGCCAACAAUACAAUUGGACCCACAUGGUCAAUGAAAAAGGUUGAAGAGUGCAUAAAGCAAUGAAAUCUGUUGUUUGGAGCUGGAGUUGAACCGGCACCUUUGGACCACAGCGUUUCAGGAACUUCUUACAGUCCUCUGCUCUACCAACUGAGCUAUGAAGGAGCUUAUAUAUACAAACGCAGAAAACAUAGUGGCUUCGGCGACACACUUUGCCAACAAUACAAUUGGACCCACAUGGUCAAUGAAAAAGGUUGAAGAGUGCAUACAGCAAUGAAAUGUGGUGUUUGGAGCUGGAGUUGAACCAGCCACCUUUGGAGAACAGCGUUUCAGGAACUUCUUACAGUCCUCUGCUCUACCAACUGAGCUAUGAAGGUGCUUAUAUAUACAAACGCAGAAAACAUAGUGGCUUCGGCGACACACUUUGCCAACAAUACAAUUGGAACCACAUGGUCAAUGAAAAAGGUUGAAGAGUGCAUAAAGCAACGAAAUCUGUUGUUUGGAGCUGGAGUUGAACAGGCCACCUUUGGACCACAGCGUUUCAGGAACUUCUUACAGUCCUCUGCUCUACCAAGUGAGCUAUGAAGGUGCUUAUAGGCACAAACGCAGAAAACAUAGUGGCUUCGGCGACACACUUUGCCAACAAUACAAUUGGACCCACAUGGUCAAUGAAAAAGGUUGAAGAGUGUAUACAGGAAUGAAAUGUGGUGUUUGGAGCUGGAGUUGAACCGGCCACCUUUGGACCACAGCGUUUCAGGAACUUCUUACAGUCCUCUGCUCUACCAACUGAGCUAUGAAGGUGCUUAUAUAUACAAACGCAGAAAACAUAGUGGCUUCGGCGACACACUUUGCCAACAAUACAAUUGGACCCACAUGGUCAAUGAAAAAGGUUGAAGAGUGCAUACAGCAAUGAAAUGUGGUGUUUGGAGCUGGAGUUGAACCAGCCACCUUUGGAGAACAGCGUUUCAGGAACUUCUUACAGUCCUCUGCUCUACCAACUGAGCUAUGAAGGUGCUUAUAUAUACAAAAGCAGAAAACAUAGUGGCUUCGGCGACACACUUUGCCAACAAUACAAUUGGAACCACAUGGUCAAUGAAAAAGGUUGAAGAGUGCAUAAAGCAAGGAAAUGUGGUGUUUGGAGUUGGAGUUGAACCAGCGACCUUUGGACCACAGCAUUUCAGGAACUUCUUACAGUCCUCUGCUCUACCAACUGAGCUAUGAAGGUGCUUAUACAUACAAAAGCAGAAAACAUAGUGGCUUCGGCGACACACUUUGCCAACAAUACAAUUGGAACAACAUGGUCAAUGAAAAAGGUUGAAGAGUGCAUAAAGCAAGGAAAUCUGGUGUUUGGAGUUGGAGUUGAACCAGCGACCUUUUGACAACAGCGUUUCAGGAACUUCUUUUCUUACAGUCCUCUGCUCUACCAACUGAGCUAUGAAGGAGCUUAUAUAUACAAACGCAGAAAACAUAGUGGCUUCGGCGACACACUUUGCCAACAAUACAAUUGGACCCACAUGGUCAAUGAAAAAGGUUGAAGAGUGCAUACAGCAAUGAAAUGUGGUGUUUGGAGCUGGAGUUGAACCAGCGACCUUUUGACCACAGCGUUUCAGGAACUUCUUACAGUCCUCUGCUCUACCAACUGAGCUAUGAAGGUGCUUAUAUAUACAAACGCAGAAAACAUAGUGGCUUCGGCGACACACUUUGCCAACAAUACAAUUGGACCCACAUGGUCAAUGAAAAAGGUUGAAGAGUGCAUACAGCAAUGAAAUCUGUUGUUUGGAGCUGGAGUUGAACCGGGCACCUUUGGACCACAGCGUUUCAGGAGCUUCUUACAGUCCUCUGCUCUACCAACUGAGCUAUGAAGGUGCUUAUAUAUACAAAAGCAGAAAACAUAGUGGCUUCGGCGACACACUUUGCCAACAAUACAAUUGGACCCACAUGGUCAAUGAAAAAGGUUGAAGAGUGCAUACAGCAAUGAAAUGUGGUGUUUGGAGCUGGAGUUGAACCAGCCACCUUUGGAGAACAGCGUUUCAGGAACUUCUUACAGUCCUCUGCUCUACCAACUGAGCUAUGAAGGUGCUUAUAUAUACAAACGCAGAAAACAUAGUGGCUUCGGCGAGACACUUUGCCAACAAUACAAUUGGACCCACAUGGUCAAUGAAAGAGGUUGAAGAGUGCAUACAGCAAUGAAAUGUGGUGUUUGGAGCUGGAGUUGAACCAGCCACCUUUGGAGAACAGCGUUUCAGGAACUUCUUACAGUCCUCUGCUCUACCAACUGAGCUAUGAAGGUGCUUAUAUAUACAAAAGCAGAAAACAUAGUGGCUUCGGUGACACACUUUGCCAACAAUACAAUUGGAACCACAUGGUCAAUGAAAAAGGUUGAAGAGUGCAUAAAGCAACGAAAUCUGGUGUUUGGAGUUGGAGUUGAACCAGCGACCUUUGGACCACAGCGUUUCAGGAACUUCUUACAGUCCUCUGCUCUACCAACUGAGCUAUGAAGGUGCUUAUAUAUACAAAAGCAGAAAACAUAGUGGCUUCGGCGACACACUUUGCCAACAAUACAAUUGGAACCACAUGGUCAAUGAAAAAGGUUGAAGAGUGCAUAAAGCAACGAAAUCUGUUGUUUGGAGCUGGAGUUGAACCGGCCACCUUUGGACCACAGCGUUUCAGGAACUUCUUACAGUCCUCUGCUCUACCAAGUGAGCUAUGAAGGUGCUUAUAGACACAAACGCAGAAAACAUAGUGGCUUCGGCGACACACUUUGCCAACAAUACAAUUGGACCCACAUGGUCAAUGAAAAAGGUUGAAGAGUGCAUACAGCAAUGAAAUGUGGUGUUUGGAGGUAGAGUUGAACCGGCCACCUUUGGACCACAGCGUUUCAGGAACUUCUUACAGUCCUCUGCUCUACCAACUGAGCUAUGAAGGUGCUUAUAUAUACAAAAGCAGAAAACAUAGUGGCUUCGGCGACACACUUUGCCAACAAUACAAUUGGACCCACAUGGUCAAUGAAAAAGGUUGAAGAGUGCAUACAGCAAUGAAAUGUGGUGUUUGGAGGUGGAGUUGAACCAGCCACCUUUGGACCACAGCGUUUCAGGAACUUCUUACAGUCCUCUGCUCUACCAACUGAGCUAUGAAGGUGCUUAUAUAUACAAAAGCAGAAAACAUAGUGGCUUCGGCGACACACUUUGCCAACAAUACAAUUGGAACCACAUGGUCAAUGAAAAAGGUUGAAGAGUGCAUAAAGCAAGGAAAUGUGGUGUUUGGAGUUGGAGUUGAACCAGCGACCUUUGGACCACAGCGUUUCAGGAACUUCUUACAGUCCUCUGUUCUACCAACUGAGCUAUGAAGGUGCUUAUACAUACAAAAGCAGAAAACAUAGUGGCUUCGGCGACACACUUUGCCAACAAUACAAUUGGAACAACAUGGUCAAUGAAAAAGGUUGAAGAGUGCAUAAAGCAAGGAAAUCUGGUGUUUGGAGUUGGAGUUGAACCAGCCACCUUUGGAGAACAGCGUUUCAGGAACUUCUUUUCUUACAGUCCUCUGCUCUACCAACUGAGCUAUGAAGGUGCUUAUAUAUACAAACGCAGAAAACAUAGUGGCUUCGGCGACACACUUUGCCAACAAUACAAUUGGACCCACAUGGUCAAUGAAAAAGGUUGAAGAGUGCAUACAGCAAUGAAAUGUGGUGUUUGGAGCUGGAGUUGAACCAGCGACCUUUUGACCACAGCGUUUCAGGAACUUCUUACAGUCCUCUGCUCUACCAACUGAGCUAUGAAGGUGCUUAUAUAUACAAACGCAGAAAACAUAGUGGCUUCGGCGAAACACUUUGCCAACAAUACAAUUGGACCCACAUGGUCAAUGAAAAAGGUUGAAGAGUGCAUACAGCAAUGAAAUCUGUUGUUUGGAGCUGGAGUUGAACCGGGCACCUUUGGACCACAGCGUUUCAGGAGCUUCUUAUAGUCCUCUGCUCUACCAACUGAGCUAUGAAGGUGCUUAUAUAUACAAAAGCAGAAAACAUAGUGGCUUCGGCGACACACUUUUCCAACAAUACAAUUGGACUCACAUGGUCAAUGAAAAAGGUUGAAGAGUGCAUAAAGCAAGGAAAUCUGUUGUUUGGAGCUGGAGUUGAAGCGGGCACCUUUGGACCACAGCGUUUCAGGAACUUCUUACAGUCCUCUGCUCUACCAACUGAGCUAUGAAGGUGCUUAUAUAUACAAAAGCAGAAAACAUAGUGGCUUCGGCGACACACUUUGCCAACAAUACAAUUGGAACCACAUGGUCAAUGAAAAAGGUUGAAGAGUGCAUAAAGCAAGGAAAUCUGGUGUUUGGAGUUGGAGUUGAACCAGCGACCUUUUGACAACAGCGUUUCAGGAACUUCUUUUCUUACAGUCCUCUGCUCUACCAACUGAGCUAUGAAGGAGCUUAUAUAUACAAACGCAGAAAACAUAGUGGCUUCGGCGACACACUUUGCCAACAAUACAAUUGGAACCACAUGGUCAAUGAAAAAGGUUGAAGAGUGCAUAAAGCAACGAAAUCUGUUGUUUGGAGCUGGAGUUGAACCAGCGACCUUUUGACCACAGCGUUUCAGGAACUUCUUACAGUCCUCUGCUCUACCAACUGAGCUAUGAAGGUGCUUAUAUAUACAAACGCAGAAAACAUAGUGGCUUCGGCGACACACUUUGCCAACAAUACAAUUGGACCCACAUGGUCAAUGAAAAAGGUUGAAGAGUGCAUACAGCAAUGAAAUCUGUUGUUUGGAGCUGGAGUUGAACCGGGCACCUUUGGACCACAGCGUUUCAGGAGCUUCUUACAGUCCUCUGCUCUACCAACUGAGCUAUGAAGGUGCUUAUAUAUACAAAAGCAGAAAACAUAGUGGCUUCGGCGACACACUUUGCCAACAAUACAAUUGGACCCACAUGGUCAAUGAAAAAGGUUGAAGAGUGCAUAAAGCAAGGAAAUGUGGUGUUUGGAGUUGGAGUUGAACCAGCGACCUUUGGACCACAGCGUUUCAGGAACUUCUUACAGUCCUCUGCUCUACCAACUGAGCUAUGAAGGUGCUUAUAUAUACAAAAGCAGAAAACAUAGUGGCUUCGGCGACACACUUUGCCAACAAUACAAUUGGAACCACAUGGUCAAUGAAAAAGGUUGAAGAGUGCAUAAAGCAAGGAAAUGUGGUGUUUGGAGUUGGAGUUGAACCAGCCACCUUUGGACCACAGCGUUUCAGGAACUUCAUACAGUCCUCUGCUCUACCAACUGAGCUAUGAAGGUGCUUAUAUAUACAAACGCAGAAAACAUAGUGGCUUCGGCGACACACUUUGCCAACAAUACAAUUGGACCCACAUGGUCAAUGAAAAAGGUCUAAGAGUGCAUAAAGCAACGAAAUCUGUUGUUCGGAGCUGGAGUUGAACAGGCCACCUUUGGACCACAGCGUUUCAGGAACUUCUUACAGUCCUCUGCUCUACCAAGUGAGCUAUGAAGGUGCUUAUAGACACAAACGCAGAAAACAUAGUGGCUUCGGCGACACACUUUGCCAACAAUACAAUUGGACCCACAUGGUCAAUGAAAAAGGUUGAAGAGUGUAUACAGGAAUGAAAUGUGGUGUUUGGAGCUGGAGUUGAACCGGCCACCUUUGGACCACAGCGUUUCAGGAACUUCUUACAGUCCUCUGCUCUACCAACUGAGCUAUGAAGGUGCUUAUAUAUACAAACGCAGAAAACAUAGUGGCUUCGGCGACACACUUUGCCAACAAUACAAUUGGACCCACAUGGUCAAUGAAAAAGGUUGAAGAGUGCAUACAGCAAUGAAAUGUGGUGUUUGGAGCUGGAGUUGAACCAGCCACCUUUGGAGAACAGCGUUUCAGGAACUUCUUACAGUCCUCUGCUCUACCAACUGAGCUAUGAAGGUGCUUAUAUAUACAAAAGCAGAAAACAUAGUGGCUUCGGCGACACACUUUGCCAACAAUACAAUUGGAACCACAUGGUCAAUGAAAAAGGUUGAAGAGUGCAUAAAGCAAGGAAAUCUGGUGUUUGGAGUUGGAGUUGAACCAGCGACCUUUGGACCACAGCGUUUCAGGAACUUCUUACAGUCCUCUGCUCUACCAACUGAGCUAUGAAGGUGCUUAUACAUACAAAAGCAGAAAACAUAGUGGCUUCGGCGACACACUUUGCCAACAAUACAAUUGGAACAACAUGGUCAAUGAAAAAGGUUGAAGAGUGCAUAAAGCAACGAAAUCUGGUGUUUGGAGUUGGAGUUGAACCAGCGACCUUUUGACAACAGCGUUUCAGGAACUUCUUUUCUUACAGUCCUCUGCUCUACCAACUGAGCUAUGAAGGAGCUUAUAUAUACAAACGCAGAAAACAUAGUGGCUUCGGCGACACACUUUGCCAACAAUACAAUUGGAACCACAUGGUCAAUGAAAAAGGUUGAAGAGUGCAUACAGCAAUGAAAUGUGGUGUUUGGAGCUGGAGUUGAACCAGCGACCUUUGGACCACAGCGUUUCAGGAACUUCUUACAGUCCUCUGCUCUACCAACUGAGCUAUGAAGGUGCUUAUAUAUACAAACGCAGAAAACAUAGUGGCUUCGGCGACACACUUUGCCAACAAUACAAUUGGACCCACAUGGUCAAUGAAAAAGGUUGAAGAGUGCAUACAGCAAUGAAAUCUGUUGUUUGGAGCUGGAGUUGAACCGGGCACCUUUGGACCACAGCGUUUCAGGAGCUUCUUACAGUCCUCUGCUCUACCAACUGAGCUAUGAAGGUGCUUAUAUAUACAAAAGCAGAAAACAUAGUGGCUUCGGCGACACACUUUGCCAACAAUACAAUUGGACCCACAUGGUCAAUGAAAAAGGUUGAAGAGUGCAUACAGCAAUGAAAUGUGGUGUUUGGAGCUGGAGUUGAACCAGCCACCUUUGGAGAACAGCGUUUCAGGAACUUCUUACAGUCCUCUGCUCUACCAACUGAGCUAUGAAGGUGCUUAUAUAUACAAACGCAGAAAACAUAGUGGCUUCGGCGAGACACUUUGCCAACAAUACAAUUGGACCCACAUGGUCAAUGAAAGAGGUUGAAGAGUGCAUACAGCAAUGAAAUGUGGUGUUUGGAGCUGGAGUUGAACCAGCCACCUUUGGAGAACAGCGUUUCAGGAACUUCUUACAGUCCUCUGCUCUACCAACUGAGCUAUGAAGGUGCUUAUAUAUACAAAAGCAGAAAACAUAGUGGCUUCGGUGACACACUUUGCCAACAAUACAAUUGGAACCACAUGGUCAAUGAAAAAGGUUGAAGAGUGCAUAAAGCAACGAAAUCUGUUGUUUGGAGCUGGAGUUGAACCGGCCACCUUUGGACCACAGCGUUUCAGGAACUUCUUACAGUCCUCUGCUCUACCAAGUGAGCUAUGAAGGUGCUUAUAGACACAAACGCAGAAAACAUAGUGGCUUCGGCGACACACUUUGCCAACAAUACAAUUGGACCCACAUGGUCAAUGAAAAAGGUUGAAGAGUGCAUACAGCAAUGAAAUGUGGUGUUUGGAGGUGGAGUUGAACCAGCCACCUUUGGACCACAGCGUUUCAGGAACUUCUUACAGUCCUCUGCUCUACCAACUGAGCUAUGAAGGUGCUUAUAUAUACAAAAGCAGAAAACAUAGUGGCUUCGGCGACACACUUUGCCAACAAUACAAUUGGACCCACAUGGUCAAUGAAAAAGGUUGAAGAGUGCAUACAGCAAUGAAAUGUGGUGUUUGGAGGUGGAGUUGAACCAGCCACCUUUGGACCACAGCGUUUCAGGAACUUCUUACAGUCCUCUGCUCUACCAACUGAGCUAUGAAGGUGCUUAUAUAUACAAAAGCAGAAAACAUAGUGGCUUCGGCGACACACUUUGCCAACAAUACAAUUGGAACCACAUGGUCAAUGAAAAAGGUUGAAGAGUGCAUACAGCAAUGAAAUGUGGUGUUUGGAGUUGGAGUUGAACCAGCGACCUUUUGACAACAGCGUUUCAGGAACUUCUUUUCUUACAGUCCUCUGCUCUACCAACUGAGCUAUGAAGGAGCUUAUAUAUACAAACGCAGAAAACAUAGUGGCUUCGGCGACACACUUUGCCAACAAUACAAUUGGACCCACAUGGUCAAUGAAAAAGGUUGAAGAGUGCAUACAGCAAUGAAAUGUGGUGUUUGGAGCUGGAGUUGAACCAGCCACCUUUGGAGAACAGCGUUUCAGGAACUUGUUACAGUCCUCUGCUCUACCAACUGAGCUAUGAAGGUGCUUAUAUAUACAAACGCAGAAAACAUAGUGGCUUCGGCGACACACUUUGCCAACAAUACAAUUGGAACCACAUGGUCAAUGAAAAAGGUUGAAGAGUGCAUACAGCAAUGAAAUGUGGUGUUUGGAGUUGAGUUGACCAGCGACCUUUGACAACAGCGUUUCAGGAACUUCUUUUCUUACAGUCCUCUGCUCUACCAACUGAGCUAUGAAGGAGCUUAUAUAUACAAACGCAGAAAACAUAGUGGCUUCGGCGACACACUUUGCCAACAAUACAAUUGGACCCACAUGGUCAAUGAAAAAGGUUGAAGAGUGCAUACAGCAAUGAAAUGUGGUGUUUGGAGCUGGAGUUGAACCAGCCACCUUUGGAGAACAGCGUUUCAGGAACUUGUUACAGUCCUCUGCUCUACCAACUGAGAUAUGAAGGUGCUUAUAUAUACAAACGCAGAAAACAUAGUGGCUUCGGCGACACACUUUGCCAACAAUACAAUUGGAACCACAUGGUCAAUGAAAAAGGUUGAAGAGUGCAUACAGCAAUGAAAUGUGGUGUUUGGAGUUGGAGUUGAACCAGCGACCUUUUGACAACAGCGUUUCAGGAACUUCUUUUCUUACAGUCCUCUGCUCUACCAACUGAGCUAUGAAGGAGCUUAUAUAUACAAACGCAGAAAACAUAGUGGCUUCGGCGACACACUUUGCCAACAAUACAAUUGGACCCACAUGGUCAAUGAAAAAGGUUGAAGAGUGCAUACAGGAAUGAAAUGUGGUGUUUGGAGCUGGAGUUGAACCAGCGACCUUUGGACCACAGCGUUUCAGGAACUUCUUACAGUCCUCUACUCUACCAACUGAGCUAUGAAGGUGCUUAUAGACCGAAACGCAGAAAACAUAGUGGCUUCGGCGACACACUUUGCCAACAAUACAAUUGGACCCACAUGGUCAAUGAAAAAGGUUGAAGAGUGCAUACAGCAAUGAAAUCUGUUGUUUUGAGCUGGAGUUGAACCGGACACCUUUGGACCACAGCGUUUCAGGAGCUUCUUACAGUCCUCUGCUCUACCAAGUGAGCUAUGAAGGUGCUUAUAGACACAAACGCAGAAAACAUAGUGGCUUCGGCGACACACUUUGCCAACAAUACAAUUGGACCAAAAGGUCAAUGAAAAAGGUUGAACAGUGCAUAAAGCAAUGAAAUCUGGUGUUUGGAGUUGGAGUUGAAGCAGCGACGUUUGGACAACAGCGUUUCAGGAACUUCUUACAGUCCUCUGCUCUACCAAGUGAGCUAUGAAGGUGCUUAUAUAUACAAACGCCGAAAACAUAGUGGCUUCGGCGACACACUUUGCCAACAAUACAAUUGGACUCACAUGGUCAAUGAAAAAAGUUGAAGAGUGCAUACAGCAAUGAAAUGUGGUGUUUGGAGCUGGAGUUGAACCAGCGACCUUUGGACCACAGCGUUUCAGGAAGUUCUUACAGUCCUCUGCUCUACCAACUGAGCUAUGAAGGUGCAUAUAUAUACAAACGCAGAAAACAUAGUGGCUUCGGCGACACACUUUGCCAACAUAACAAUCAAGGUACCUGGUCAAUGAAAAAGGUUGAACAGUGCAUAAAGCAAUGAAAUGUGGUGUUUGGAGCUGGAGUUGAACCAGCGACGUUUGGACCACAGCGUUUCAGGAACUUCUUACAGUACUCUGCUCUACCAACUGCGCUAUGAAGGUGCUUAUAGACCCAAACGCAGAAAACAAAGUGGCUUCGGCGACACACUUUGCCAACAAUACAAUUGGACCCACAUGGUCAAUGAAAAAGGUUGAAGAGUGCAUACAGCAAUGAAAUCUGGUGUUUGGAGCUGGAGUUGAACCAGCGACCUUUGGACCAGAGCGUUUCAGGAACUUCUUACAGUCCUCUGCUCUACCAACUGAGCUAUGAAGGUGCUUAUAUAUACAAACGCAGAAAACAUAGUGGCUUCGGCGACACACUUUGCCAACAAUACAAUUGGACCCACAUGGUCAAUGAAAAAGGUUGAAGAGUGCAUACAGCAAUAAAAUCUGGUGUUUGGAGCUGGAGUUGAACCGGCCACCUUUGGACCACAGCGUUUCAGGAACUUCUUACAGUCCUCUGCUCUACCAAGUGAGCUAUGAAGGUGCUUAUAGACACAAUUGCAGAAAACAUAGUGGCUUCGGAGACACACUUUGCCAACAUAACAAUCAAGCUACCUGGUCAAUGAAAAAGGUUGAACAGUGCAUAGAGCAAUGAAAUCUGGUGUUUGGAGCUGGAGUUGAACCAGCGACGUUUGGACCACAGCGUUUCAGGAACUUCUUACAGUACUCUGCUCUACCAACUGCGCUAUGAAGGUGCUUAUAGACCCAAACGCAGAAAACAAAGUGGCUUCGGCGACACACUUUGCCAACAAUACAAUUGGACCCACAUGGUCAAUGAAAAAGGUUGAAGAGUGCAUACAGCAACGAAAUGUGGUGUUUGGAGCUGGAGUUGAACCAGCCACCUUUGGAGAACAGCGUUUCAGGAACUUCUUACAGUCCUCUGCUCUACCAACUGAGCUAUGAAGGUGCUCAUAUAUACAAAAGCAGAAAACAUAGUGGCUUCGGCGAGACACUUUGCCAACAAUACAAUUGGACCCACAUGGUCAAUGAAAAAGGUUGAAGAGUGCAUACAGCAAUGAAAUGUGGUGUUUGGAGCUGGAGUUGAACCAGCCACCUUUGGACCACAGCGUUUCAGGAACUUCUUACAGUCCUCUGCUCUACCAACUGAGCUAUGAAGGAGCUUAUAUAUACAAACGCAGAAAACAUAGUGGCUUCGGCGACACACUUUGCCAACAAUACAAUUGGACCCACAUGGUCAAUGAAAAAGGUUGAAGAGUGCAUACAGCAAUGAAAUCUGUUGUUUGGAGCUGGAGUUGAACCAGCGACCUUUGGACCACAGCGUUUCAGGAACUUCUUACAGUCCUCUGCUCUACCAACUGAGCUAUGAAGGUGCUCAUAGACCCAAAUGCAGAAAACAUAGUGGCUUCGGCGACACACUUUGCCAACAAUACAAUUGGACCCACAUGGUCAAUGAAAAAGGUUGAAGAGUGCAUACAGCAAUGAAAUCUGGUGUUUGGAGCUGGAGUUGAACCGGCCACCUUUGGACCACAGCGUUUCAGGAACUUCUUACAGUCCUCUGCUCUACCAAGUGAGCUAUGAAGGUGCUUAUAGACACAAACGCAGAAAACAUAGUGGCUUCGGCGACACACUUUGCCAACAAUACAAUUGGACCUACAUGGUCAAUGAAAAAGGUUGAACAGUGCAUAAAGCAAUGAAAUGUGGUGUUUGGAGCUGGAGUUGAACCAGCCACCUUUGGACCACAGCGUUUCAGGAGCUUCUUACAGUCCUCUGCUCUACCAAGUGAGCUAUGAAGGUGCUUAUAGACACAAACGCAGAAAACAUAGUGGCUUCGGCGACACACUUUGCCAACAAUACAAUUGGACCCA